CAGCAGCCGCGGUAAUUCCAGCUCCAAUAGCGUAUAUUAAAGUUGUUGCAGUUAAAAAGCUCGUAGUUGGAUCUGGGGUUCGGGUCGGUGGUUUGCCGCUCUGCGGCUACUGCCGUGCUCGACUCUUACUAGCCGGUGCGUCUCUUGGUGCUCUUCAUUGAGUGCCACGAGAGCCUGGCAUGUUUACUUUGAAAAAAUUAGAGUGCUCAAAGCAGGCGCUUGCGCCUGAAUAGUGUUGCAUGGAAUAAUGGAAUAGGACCUCGGUUCUAUUUUGUUGGUUUUCGGAACUUGAGGUAAUGAUUAAGAGGGACGGUCGGGGGCAUUCGUAUUUCGGUGUUAGAGGUGAAAUUCUUGGAUCGCUGAAAGACGGACAAAUGCGAAAGCAUCUGCCAAGAACGUCUCCAUUAAUCAAGAACGAAAGUCAGAGGUUCGAAGACGAUCAGACACCGUCCUAGUUCUGACCAUAAACGAUGCCAACUAGCGAUCCGCAGUGGUUGCUAUAAACGGACUCUGCGAGCAGCUUCCGGGAAACCAAAGUGUUUGGGUUCCGGGGGAAGUAUGGUUGCAAAGCUGAAACUUAAAGGAAUUGACGGAAGGGCACCACCAGGAGUGGAGCCUGCGGCUUAAUUUGACUCAACACGGGGAAACUCACCCGGUCCGGACACCGUAAGGAUUGACAGAUCGAGAGCUCUUUCUUGAUUCGGUGGAUGGUGGUGCAUGGCCGUUCUUAGUUGGUGGAGUGAUUUGUCUGGUUAAUUCCGAUAACGAACGAGACUCUAGCCUGCUAACUAGUUGCGCCGUGUUCAUUCGCGGCUGUAGACUUCUUAGAGGGACAGAUGGCGUUUAGCCAUACGAAAUUGAGCAAUAACAGGUCUGUGAUGCCCUUAGAUGUCCGGGGCCGCACGCGCGCUACACUGAAGGAGUCAGCGUGUGCUAUCCGUGCUCGGAAGAGCUCGGUAACCCGUUGAAACUCCUUCGUGCUUGGGAUUGUGGCUUGUAAUUAUCGCGCAUGAACGAGGAAUUCCCAGUAAGUGCAAGUCAUCAGCUUGCGCUGACUACGUCCCUGCCCUUUGUACACACCGCCCGU
rnacentral:rRNA from 1 species